rnacentral:rRNA from 1 species
GCUGGCGUCUUCGGCGUCCGCGUUGUAAUCUCGAGACGUGUUUUCCGUGCGGCUCUAUGGACAAGUCCCUUGGAACAGGGCAUCGUAGAGGGUGAAAAUCCCGUACUUGCCAUGGAAGUACCGUGCUUUGUGAUACACGCUCCAAGAGUCGAGUAGUUUGGGAUUGCUGCUCAAAGUGGGUGGUAGACUCCAUCUAAAGCUAAAUAUCGGGGAGAGACCGAUAGCGAACAAGUACCGUGAGGGAAAGAUGAAAAGCACUUUGGAAAGAGAGUUAAAAGUACGUGAAAUUGUCGAAAGGGAAGCACUUGAAGUCAGCCAUGCUGCUUGAGACUCAGCCUGGCUUUUGCUUGGUGUAUUUCUCGGUAGCAAGCCAGCAUUGGUUUGUGUCGUCGGAGAAGCGUAUGGGGAAUGUGGCAUCCUCGGAUGUGUUAUAGCCCUGUGCAGGAUACGACGACGUAGACCAAGGAACGCAGUGUGCCCUCUGGGC